UCGCGAAAACUUUGCAAUAAGCGAAAGCUUGACAGGGCUAUCCCGAGUGCCAUCCGCUGAGGAAGGCUUUUACCCAGUCUAGUAAGCUGGGGGAAUAAGGAGAGGGCAAGUCUGGUGUCAGCCGCCGCGGUAAUACCAGCUCUCCGAGUGGUGUGGAUGUUUAUUGGGCCUAAAGC
rnacentral:rRNA from 1 species